rnacentral:rRNA from 1 species
AACGAACGCUGGCGGCAUGCCUAACACAUGCAAGUCGAACGAGACCUUCGGGUCUAGUGGCGCACGGGUGCGUAACGCGUGGGAACCUGCCCUUAGGUUCGGAAUAACUCCCCGAAAGGGGUGCUAAUACCGGAUAAUGUCUUCGGACCAAAGAUUUAUCGCCUUUGGAUGGGCCCGCGUUGGAUUAGCUAGUUGGUAGGGUAAAAGCCUACCAAGGCGACGAUCCAUAGCUGGUCUGAGAGGAUGAUCAGCCACACUGGGACUGAGACACGGCCCAGACUCCUACGGGGGGGAGCAGGGGGGAAUUUUGGACAAUGGGCGAAAGCCUGUUCCAGCAAUGCCGGGGGGGUGAUGAAGGCCUUAGGGUUGUAAAGCUCUUUUCCCCGGGAUGAUAAUGACAGUCCCGGGAGAAUAAGCCCCGGCCAACCCCGU